CGGGGAUCCAGGCUGUCCAGGAGAAGGGCAGCGGGAGCUGAGGGCGGCCGGCUCCCGGGCCGCUGCGGGGAGGCUGAGUGCCACCCCCGCUACUCAGUCCGCGGGGCUGGGAUGAAGCUUUCUGGCAAGGAGUUGUGAGUUGGUGCGUGUCACUCUCCACUGGGCGGCGGGGCUCCUCCUAGAGGAAAAUAUUGGUAGUUGCGGGAGACCUCCCUCCUCUCCACCCACCGGGUUCCCCCAAAGAAGUAUCUAGAAGUCCUCAACUUCUGUACAUUCAAAGAGAGCAGUGCACCUCCUGCAGGUAUGGGAAGAAGUCCCUUGGAAAGUGUGAUGAGUCUACUAGAUUUUACCGGUCUAGUUGGUUUUCAAGCUCCUGCUCACUGGGAUUCAGCAUAAAGGACAUUCCCAGUCCGAGAGGUUAAAAAAAAAUGAAGACAAAGCAGGCACAGAGUACAAAGGUACAAAAGUCCAGCCCCGGGCCGUCGAGCUGUCUCAUCUGGAGGAACAACGGGUCACGUGGUCUUCUUACUAUUUGCUUUGUACUGACAGCUAGUUAAGAUCUGUGACAAAGAUGAAAUUAUCCUCCUUUAACCAACAGGAAGUCAUGAAGAGACACAAAAACAAACACAGCAACAACAACAACAACAAAAACCAGACUGAUCACAUAAAGGGAAAAAAUUUAGAGUGCGGAUGGGGACUCAGCUUUUUUGUAUCACCUUUAUUUUGGGGACUCUUCCUUCAGUCUCUCAAGGUCUUGGCAUCUAGUAUUGUGUCCACCUCAUUUCAAGCCACCAGCCCACCAGCCUCUAUGUGUGGCAAGAACUAAAAUUGUCCUCUAAUUCCUAGGCACCAAAGUAACUAACAGUAGUGACCAGGGGGGACAGGAGAGAUUCCUCUAUUUUGCCUUUAGUAGUACAGGUCUUGUGCAGGCAACCCACACAGGUACAGACAGAAACUAAUUAUCAUAGUCUCCAUAUUUGUUAAGUUUGAGCUAGUGAGUUGUGGAGAAUGUGUUUCAUCAUCUUGCUUUGAGAAAUAAACAUUCAUAAUGAUGUAGAGA
ensembl:lncRNA